rnacentral:rRNA from 1 species
UACGUAGGGUGCAAGCGUUAAUCGGAAUUACUGGGCGUAAAGCGUGCGCAGGCGGUUUUGUAAGUCUGUCGUGAAAUCCCCGGGCUCAACCUGGGAAUUGCGAUGGAGACUGCAAGGCUAGAAUCUGGCAGAGGGGGGUAGAAUUCCACGUGUGAGCAGUGAAAUGCGUAGAGAUGUGGAGGAACACCGAUGGCGAAGGCAGCCCCCUGG